rnacentral:rRNA from 1 species
CGACAGGCUUAACACAUGCAAGUCGAGGGGCAGCGGGGGUAGCGAUACCCGCCGGCGACCGGCGCACGGGUGAGUAACGCGUAUGCAACUUGCCUAUCAGAGGGGGAUAACCCGGCGAAAGUCGGACUAAUACCGCAUGAAGCAGGGGCCCCGCAUGGGGAUAUUUGCUAAAGAUUCAUCGCUGAUAGAUAGGCAUGCGUUCCAUUAGGCAGUUGGCGGGGUAACGGCCCACCAAACCGACGAUGGAUAGGGGUUCUGAGAGGAAGGUCCCCCACAUUGGUACUGAGACACGGACCAAACUCCUACGGGAGGCAGCAGUGAGGAAUAUUGGUCAAUGGCCGAGAGGCUGAACCAGCCAAGUCGCGUGAGGGAUGAAGGUUCUAUGGAUCGUAAACCUCUUUUAUAAGGGAAUAAAGUGCGGGACGUGUCCCGUUUUGUAUGUACCUUAUGAAUAAGGAUCGGCUAACUCCGUGCCAGCAGCCGCGGUAAUACGGAGGAUCCGAGCGUUAUCCGGAUUUAUUGGGUUUAAAGGGUGCGUAGGCGGCCUUUUAAGUCAGCGGUGAAAGUCUGUGGCUCAACCAUAGAAUUGCCGUUGAAACUGGGGGGCUUGAGUAUGUUUGAGGCAGGCGGAAUGCGUGGUGUAGCGGUGAAAUGCAUAGAUAUCACGCAGAACCCCGAUUGCGAAGGCAGCCUGCCAAGCCAUUACUGACGCUGAUGCACGAAAGCGUGGGGAUCAAACAGGAUUAGAUACCCUGGUAGUCCACGCAGUAAACGAUGAUCACUAGCUGUUUGCGAUACACUGUAAGCGGCACAGCGAAAGCGUUAAGUGAUCCACCUGGGGAGUACGCCGGCAACGGUGAAACUCAAAGGAAUUGACGGGGGCCCGCACAAGCGGAGGAACAUGUGGUUUAAUUCGAUGAUACGCGAGGAACCUUACCCGGGUUUGAACGCAUUCGGACCGAGGUGGAAACACCUUUUCUAGCAAUAGCCGUUUGCGAGGUGCUGCAUGGUUGUCGUCAGCUCGUGCCGUGAGGUGUCGGCUUAAGUGCCAUAACGAGCGCAACCCUUGCCACUAGUUACUAACAGGUAAAGCUGAGGACUCUGGUGGGACUGCCAGCGUAAGCUGCGAGGAAGGCGGGGAUGACGUCAAAUCAGCACGGCCCUUACAUCCGGGGCGACACACGUGUUACAAUGGCGUGGACAAAGGGAAGCCACCUGGCGACAGGGAGCGAAUCCCCAAACCACGUCUCAGUUCGGAUCGGAGUCUGCAACCCGACUCCGUGAAGCUGGAUUCGCUAGUAAUCGCGCAUCAGCCAUGGUGCGGUGAAUACGUUCCCGGGCCUUGUACACACCGCCCGUCAAGCCAUGGGAGCCGGGGGUACCUGAAGUCCGUAACCGAAAGGAUCGGCCUAGGGUAAAACUGGUGACUGGGGCUAAGUCGUA